rnacentral:lncRNA from 1 species
GAACAGGAACAGUGACGCUAAACGGCAAACAGUGGGAGCCGUUCCAGUAUCAAUAAGGAUUUUGACAAGGGAGCGAGUUUGUUUGCUUGGCUGCAAAGGCCUUGGAAUCCAGUGCAUUAGACACAAUUAUACACACUCCAUCUUCUGUGAGCGUCACUCCCAGCUGGCACGAGAGGUCUGAGACUGUCGGCACAUCAGGAAAAAUCCUCCUAAAAGCCUGGAGUGUGCAGGAUGAAUUCCCACCUUUGUUCUUGAGGGAACAGCACUAAGCACCACCAAAGGUAAAACGUGCUGCCUUUCCCUCUGGCAAAAUUCUGAACUGACUGUGGAAGGCCUCAGCUCAACCCCUGCAGGCAAGCAUCAGCAUCCUGGAAAUCACCACUCCAACUCUGCAGAGGGAUGUCAGCUCGUGAGAAGCGGUGCAGCGCGAAAGCUCUUGUGGCAGCUGUCUGUUAUGUCUGGGACGAUGGAAGUUAAAUUUGUUUGCUCACAGCUAUGCAAAUGCUGUCACUGAUGUGCUGCUCCCUUAACCUGUCUCAUGUAUGUCUCUGGGUGUAACUUCCAGCGCUUAUUCCUCCAGGGGAUUCCUUUUGGUUUGUGGGUAUUUUUUUUUUCUUUAUCUAAACAGGACUGGUGCCUUUCUGUCAACUUAAAGCAUGACCACCGACAAGAGGUAGCAAAUGAAAGCAGUGACAAUAUGGAGAGGAAGGGGCAAAGGCUGUGCAAAGAAAAACCAUGCAGAAGAAGGCCGGGUUUGCUGUACGYUCCUCGUACCAGGGAGAGUCCUUUCAGCAAACUUUYGGAGGGAACAGCUGCUCAUAGUGAAAACAAGACUGUCCUGCUGAUCCAAGCUGAAAUGUGACAUGGAAGUGGGAUUUUUGACCUUGAAAGGUGCAAAGUCGCUCAAAGGAGGGACCCUGUGAAGAUUAAAAGUAACUAGAUCUUUAUAAUGCUUCUGCAACUGCUAGAGCUGGAUGAGUAUGUUGCAAAACAAAAGGCCAAAUCCUUAAAUAGUGCAAACUUGCACAAGUCUUUUGAUGACCUCUCAGCUGAGGAAC